CAAAAACCUGUUUAUAGCACAGUCUAUUUCUUUCAUUUUCCUUGAAAAUACCAAACUGGUUGUUACAGAGACCCAAGGCUGAAAUAUUCCAAAGCAACGUUUCACUCAUCCUUCCUCCCAGAUUCUUUUCUCUGCUGCAGUCAAUUCCCCCUUUUUCCAUUUGUAGAGACAAAAGGGAACAUUCUAUAACCACUGGCCUCUGUCCAGGAACACAGGAGAAAAUGAAGCAAGGCAAACAACAGAGAAAAGUGAACAACAAAAGAACAAACUCAAACGAAACUGCUUAACAAUCCUACAGUGCAGACCUGGCAGGAAGAAAAAGUGGAUGAGGAAGACCCUUUGGACAUCGUCAAAAGAGGCAUUGUUAGCAAAUGACGGGGGGCCAGUCCUGAAAGCCUGUGAGGCUGUGAGCAACUCUCCCACCUGCUCUUCUCUGUCUGUCCUACUCCUCAUGACAAUGACUCUUAUCCUGGAGGGCCUGCAGUAGCGUUUGACACACGUACCUCAUUUAAUUCUCACAAGAGUUCUAUGAAACAGGCUAGGAUUUGGCAAACCAUUGUCAGCUACCUGUUUUUGUAAAUAUAGUUUUAUUGGAACAUAACCACCACAAUUUAUUUACAUAUUGUCUAUAGCUGCUUUUACUCUACAAUGGCAGAGUUGAGUAGUUGUGACAAAAGCUCUAGGCCCUGAAAAGUGCAAAAUAUUUAUUUUACUAUGUGGCCCUUUACAGCAAAGGUGUGUUGACCCCUCAGAUAAAUGGGACAUUGCUCCCACUUUACAUAUGAGGCACAGAAAAGCUAAGCGCAUUGACUGAGAUCAUUUGGGUUAUAAAUUAUAGUGUCAGAGAUGUCUCGGACCCAGAGACAACUGUUCCCUAUGCUUUUCUCCUCCCUACCUUAUAGCAUCUCCUACUCUUUCACAUUCA
rnacentral:lncRNA from 10 species